AUCACUUCUCGGCCUUUUGGCUAAGAUCAAGCGUAGUAUCUAAAUAGUAUAGCCAUUAUAAUUUAUGAAACUUUUGUUUCUAAUUUUUUUUUUUUGAGAGAGUGCACAUGUGCACACGAGUGGGGGAAGGGCAGAGGGAGAGAGAGAAUCCCAAGCAGGCUACCUGCCCAGUAGGGAGCCUCAACCAUG